rnacentral:lncRNA from 1 species
CACACAAUCAUAUUAUCUUAAAUUUUAACAAAAAUCAAAUAUUAUAUUUCUUACCAAUAAAUAAAAUAAUAAUAAACAUAAUUUAAUAUUUAAUUAAAACGAUAUACUAACAACAUAAAAAUUAAAAUAAUUUUCAACAAGAAACAAACUAAUUCUUUAACACGUGGUCCAAAUUAAGUAAAAUCUCACUUAAUAUAUAUCUUCUCAAUAGUUGUAAUAUAUGUUAAAGUAGCAAUUUAUUGUUCAACCGAUUUUGAUUUUUUUACACCGAUACACUAGUAAGUAUACCAUAUCGGCAGUUAAAAAUUAUCAAUUUUGAGAUCUUUUCAUCGUAAGAUAAGUGAUGUCCAAAAAUUACAAAAUUUAUUUUCCAAAAGUUUCAAAUACUUUAGAUAAUGUUUAACGCUACGGAUCGUUGUCGAAAGUUCUAUUAUAAAAAAUGACUUAUAAGCUAUGAAGACGAUUGUACUCAUAAAAGUAUAGUAGCCGGACUCCAUCUAUAUAUAGAGAGAAAGAGAGUUGAGUUAGAAUAUUAUCAGUAGUAAAUGGACUCUGUUACUAUCGAUUUGUUUUCAAUAAUACAGCUUCCAAAUUGACGAUUGAUAUCGUGGAUUGUGAUCUAGACUAUUUAAAAUAUCUAAAAAAUGAAAUUUUAAGAACUAGUUCAGAAAUAACGGUCAUA